rnacentral:rRNA from 1 species
UACGUAUGGUGCAAGCGUUAUCCGGAUUUACUGGGUGUAAAGGGAGCGCAGGCGGUGCGGCAAGUCUGAUGUGAAAGCCCGGGGCUCAACCCCGGUACUGCAUUGGAAACUGUCGUACUAGAGUGUCGGAGGGGUAAGCGGAAUUCCUAGUGUAGCGGUGAAAUGCGUAGAUAUUAGGAGGAACACCAGUGGCGAAGGCGGCUUACUGGACGAUAACUGACGCUGAGGCUCGAAAGCGUGGGGAGCAAACAGGAUUAGAUACCCUGGGGCUGACUGACU